rnacentral:rRNA from 1 species
AUGGUAGAAUGCUUCAAUAAGGUGCUCAAGGGUGUAGGUGCAUUACCCGUGACAGCAAUAGUUCAAUACACAUUUGACAAGAUGAAUGAAUACUUUUUAAAGCACUCAAUGGAGACUGAUAAGCAAAUUGCUGGUGAGAACAAGGAUAAGCACAAGUACAAUUUCCCACCAAAGGUUAAAGAAUGGUUGGAAUUUCAAUCACGAAAGGAAGACUUCGAAUAAGCUAUACUAUAUGACGACAACAAGUGGAAGUAUGAGGUGAAAGAGCCCGGAGGAACCACAAACGAUGGCCACCAACACGGAGGCCGGGCUUUCAAGGUCUCCCUAACACGGUGUGAUUGCAGCUGCAUGAGGUGGUCUUUGCUUCAUCUCCCAUGCUCGCACUUGUUAAAUGCAUCCCGGGUUAGGAAUGUGGACGUCAAUCACCCUCUUACCGUGAGGGAGUCCGAGUUUUCAAUCAUGACCGUAAAGAAUACAUGGACUCCACGGUUCCAGCCAUACUUGGACCAAUCACAAUGGCCGGAGUAUCAUGGAGUUCAACUAUGGCCGGACCCGGAAUUGAAGGUCGUUAGACGGGGGAGACGUAAGACAAAGCGGAACUCAACCGCCCAGUUGCAUAUCAGUGGGCACCGCAUAAGCCAGAGAUCCUUAUCCCGCAAGCACAUCGGGUUGAGGCGGAACUCCGCGGUGUACCCCAAGCUCUCACCCGCGCCAUAUGGCUGCCAUUCCACCUAUGAAACAGGGCAACAAUGCAAAUUUGAUGACUAUUUUUCAAGCAAGCAUGAGAAAGGACUGAAGUAA